AUUGAACGCUGGCGGCAGGCCUAACACAUGCAAGUCGAGCGGAUGAAGGGAGCUUGCUCCUGGAUUCAGCGGUGGACGGGUGAGUAAUGCCUAGGAAUCUGCCUGGUAGUGGGGGAUAACGUCCGGAAACGGGCGCUAAUACCGCAUACGUCCUGAGGGAGAAAGUGGGGGAUCUUCGGACCUCACGCUAUCAGAUGAGCCUAGGUCGGAUUAGCUAGUUGGUGGGGUAAAGGCCUACCAAGGCGACGAUCCGUAACUGGUCUGAGAGGAUGAUCAGUCACACUGGAACUGAGACACGGUCCAGACUCCUACGGGAGGCAGCAGUGGGGAAUAUUGGACAAUGGGCGGAAGCCUGAUCCAGCCAUGCCGCGUGUGUGAAGAAGGUCUUCGGAUUGUAAAGCACUUUAAGUUGGGAGGAAGGGCAGUAAGUUAAUACCUUGCUGUUUUGACGUUACCAACAGAAUAAGCACCGGCUAACUUCGUG
rnacentral:rRNA from 1 species